GAUGAACGCUGGCGGCGUGCCUAAUACAUGCAAGUCGAGCGAACGGACGAGAAGCUUGCUUCUCUGAUGUUAGCGGCGGACGGGUGAGUAACACGUGGAUAACCUACCUAUAAGACUGGGAUAACUUCGGGAAACCGGAGCUACUACCGGAUAAUAUUUUGAACCGCAUGGUUCAAAAGUGAAAGACGGCCUUGCUGUCACUUAUAGAUGGAUCCGCGCUGCAUUAGCUAGUUGGUAAGGUAACGGCUUACCAAGGCAACGAUGCAUAGCCGACCUGAGAGGGUGAUCGGCCACACUGGACCUGCGACACGGUCCAGACUCCUACGGGAGGCAGCAGUAGGGAAUCUUCCGCAAUGGGCGAAAGCCUGACGGAGCAACGCCGCGUGAGUGAUGAAGGUCUUCGGAUCGUAAAACUCUGUUAUUAGGGAAGAACAUAUGUGUAAGUAACUGUGCACAUCUUGACGGUACCUAAUCAGAAAGCCACGGCUAACUACGUG
rnacentral:rRNA from 1 species